UGGGGAAUAUUGGACAAUGGGCGCAAGCCUGAUCCAGCUAUGCCGCGUGGAUGAAGAAGGCCCUAGGGUUGUAAAGUCCUUUCGUUGGUGAAGAUAAUGACGGUAACCAAAGAAGAAGCCCCGGCUAAUUUCGUGCCAGCAGCCGCGGUAAUACGAAAGGGGCUAGCGUUGUUCGGAAUUACUGGGCGUAAAGCGCACGUAGGCGGCCUUGUAAGAUGGGGGUGAAAUCCCUGGGCUCAACCCAGGAACUGCCUUCAUGACUGCAAAGCUCGAGGAUGUGAGAGGUUGGCGGAAUUCCGAGUGUAGAGGUGAAAUUCGUAGAUAUUCGGAAGAACACCAGUGGCGAAGGCGGCCAACUGGCACAUUUCUGACGCUGAGGUGCGAAAGCGUGGGGAGCAAACAGGAUUAGAUACCCUUGUAGUCCCUGAGCGGGCUGGCAAGGCGCAU
rnacentral:rRNA from 1 species